GCUGUUCCAGUUUGACUGCUAGGAGUGUAAACCUAUUCGCAUGGUUUUUCCUAUUCAGCUGUAUACAACAUUCAUAUGCUUGAGAGCAUUCAUAUGCUCCUACGGUUCGGUGGUUUUGGUGUCUGCUGCAGUGCUUGGAGUCCUCAGGAAGUGCUAGGAGCAUCCUUCAACGGAGGUACCCAGUCGGGGUGCCAGGUGAUCCGUUACAGUGUUA